rnacentral:rRNA from 1 species
CGGAGAAGGAGCAUGAGAAACGGCUACUACUUCUAAGGAAAGCAGCAGGCGCGCAAAUUAUUCAAUGGUAACAACUACCGAAAUAGUGACAAAAAAUAACAAUGCAUCGCACAAUGUGACGCAAUUGUAAUGAGUACAAUUUAAAACCCUUAACGAGUAACAAUUAGAGGGCAAGUCUGGUGCCAGCAGCCGCGGUAAUUCCAGCUCUAAUAGCGUAUAUUAAUAUUGUUGCAGUUAAAAAGCUCGUAGUUGAAACUUGAACACCUCAAUAAGUUUGGUCUACCUUUAAGGUUUGACUACUUGUUAGUGUUCUUCCUACUGGUAACUCGAUUAUGUUCUUAAUUGAAUGUAAUAGCUAUCUUUCGAGAUAGUCAUCUAGUGUGAACAGCUCCACCAUAUCAGUGGCGAUGUGUAAAAGCAUUUAAAUUGAAUGAGUGGAUCAAGUUGAUUAUAUUAGAUGGAGUUCCAGUUCGUUUACUUUGAGAAAAUUAGAGUGUUUAAAGCAGCCUCUUGGGGCUCUGAAUACAUUAGCAUGGGAUAAUAGAAUAGGAUUUAAGUCACUAUAUUUGUUGGUUUGAAUGAAUUAAAUAAUGAUUAAGAGGGACAGUUGGGGGUAUUUAUAUUGGAUGGUUAGCGGUGAAAUGCAUGGAUCCAUUCAAGAUAAACUAAAGCGAAAGCAUUUACCAAGGAUGUUUUCAUUAAUCAAGAACGAAAGUUAAGGGAUCGAAGACGAUCAGAUACCGUCGUAGUCUUAACCAUAAACUAUGCCGACCAGGGAUAUGAGUUGCUAUGAAUAUGUUUUAGGAUGUAUUCAACUUCCUCUUGUGGACCUUGUGAGAAAUCAUAAGUUUUUGGGUUCUGGGGGAGUAUGGUCGCAAGUCUGAAACUUAAAGGAAUUGACGGAGGGGCACCACCAGGAGUGGAGCGUGCGGCUUAAUUUGACUCAACACGGGAAAACUUACCAGGUCCAGACAUUAGAAGGAUUGACAGAUUGAUAGCUCUUUCAUGAUUUAAUGGGUGGUGGUGCAUGGCCGUUCUUAGUUGGUGGAGUGAUUUGUCUGGUUAAUUCCGAUAACGAACGAGACCUUUACCAUACUAAAUAGUUUGAUUUAUACUUUUGUAUAGAUUUCAUUCAUAAACUUCUUAGAGGGACUAUUGGUUUCUAAACCAAAGGAAGUAAAGGCGAUAACAGGUCUGUGAUGCCCUUAGAUGUUCUGGGCUGCACGCGCGCUACAAUGAUAAGCUCAACGAGUAUUUAAAGUUUUUAAUUUUAUCGCUUAACCGGAAGGUUUGGCUAAUCUUAAACGCUUAUCGUGCUUGGGAUAGAUGAUUGCAAUUAUUUAUCUUGAACCAGGAAUUCCUAGUAAUCGUAUAUCAUCAGUAUGCGAUGAUUACGUCCCUGCCCC